GAUGAACGCUGGCGGCGUGCUUAAUACAUGCAAGUCGAGCGAACAGACGAGGAGCUUGCUCCUCUGACGUUAGCGGCGGACGGGUGAGUAACACGUGGAUAUCCUACCUAUAAGACUGGGAUAACUUCGGGAAACCGGAGCUAAUACCGGAUAAUAUAUUGAACCGCAUGGUUCAAUAGUGAAAGACGGUUUUGCUGUCACUUAUAGAUGGAUCCGCGCCGCAUUAGCUAGUUGGUAAGGUAACGGCUUACCAAGGCAACGAUGCGUAGCCGACCUGAGAGGGUGAUCGGCCACACUGGAACUGAGACACGGUCCAGACUCCUACGGGAGGCAGCAGUAGGGAAUCUUCCGCAAUGGGCGAAAGCUUGACGGAGCAACGCCGCGUGAGUGAUGAAGGUCUUCGGAUCGUAAAACUCUGUUAUUAGGGAAGAACAAAUGUGUAAGUAACUAUGCACGUCUUGACGGUACCUAAUCAGAAAGCCACGGCUAACUACGUG
rnacentral:rRNA from 1 species